rnacentral:rRNA from 1 species
AGAGUUUGAUCAUGGCUCAGGACGAACGCUGGCGGCGUGCCUAAUACAUGCAAGUCGAGCGGAUCUCGGAGGAAGCUUGCUUCCAAUGAGGUUAGCGGCGGACGGGUGAGUAACACGUAGGCAACCUGCCUGCAAGCCUGGGAUAACAUCCGGAAACGGAUGCUAAGACCGGAUACGCAGCUUGGUCGCAUGACCAAGCUGGGAAAGACGGAGCAAUCUGUCGCUUGGAGAUGGGCCUGCGGCGCAUUAGCUAGUUGGUGAGGUAACGGCCCACCAAGGCGACGAUGCGUAGCCGACCUGAGAGGGUGAACGGCCACACUGGGACUGAGACACGGCCCAGACUCCUACGGGAGGCAGCAGUAGGGAAUCUUCCACAAUGGACGCAAGUCUGAUGGAGCAACGCCGCGUGAGUGAGGAAGGCUUUCGGGUCGUAAAGCUCUGUUGCCAGGGAAGAACGCAUGGGAGAGUAACUGCUCCCAUGGUGACGGUACCUGAGAAGAAAGCCCCGGCUAACUACGUGCCAGCAGCCGCGGUAAUACGUAGGGGGCAAGCGUUGUCCGGAAUUAUUGGGCGUAAAGCGCGCGCAGGCGGUUCUUUAAGUCUGGUGUCUAAGUGCGGGGCUCAACCCCGUGAUGCACUGGAAACUGGGGAACUUGAGUGCAGAAGAGGAGAGCGGAAUUCCACGUGUAGCGGUGAAAUGCGUAGAGAUGUGGAGGAACACCAGUGGCGAAGGCGGCUUNUGGACUGUAACUGACGCUGAGGCGCGAAAGCGUGGGGAGCAAACAGGAUUAGAUACCCUUGUAGUCC